rnacentral:rRNA from 1 species
GUGUCAGCAGCCGCGGUAAUACGUAGGGGGCAAGCGUUGUCCGGAUUCAUUGGGCGUAAAGAGCUCGUAGGCGGUUCGGUAAGUCAGGUGUGAAAUCUCCGUGCUCAACACGGAGCGGCCACCUGAUACUGCCGUGACUCGAGUCCGGUAGGGGAGUAUGGAAUUCCCGGUGUAGCGGUGAAAUGCGCAGAUAUCGGGAGGAACACCAGUGGCGAAGGCGGUACUCUGGGCCGGAACUGACGCUGAGGAGCGAAAGCGUGGGGAGCAAACAGGAUUAGAUACCCUGGUAGUCCACGCCGUAAACGUUGGGCACUAGGUGUGGGUCUCUAUCGACGGGAUCCGUGCCGUAGCUAACGCAUUAAGUGCCCCGCCUGGGGAGUACGGCCGCAAGGCUAAA